UUAUAUCGUUUGUUAGUUGUAACAAUUGAAGCUCCUAUGUGCUCUAAAUGUUGUCAAUUGGGACCAAUAGAGUAAAUGGUGAACUCUGAAGGGAUUAAUUAUUAAUAAAGAGACAUACCAAUAUUAAUAAGUACAAGAGAGGACAUUUUUGGUAACAUUAAUAAUUGGUCAAUUGGUACUGGAAGAUAAAAUAUCAAUUGAGAUAUUUUAUUACUACUUGAUAUUAUAUAUUAUAUAUAUAUUAUAUAGUAUAUGUGUGGUGGAAAAGAAAAGAAGAAAACGAUAAGAAGUAGUAGGAAGAGAUAAGAAGAAGGAGAGAGUUAUCAGAAAAGGGAAAAGAAGAGAAAGAGAAAGAAAGAGGAAAAGAGAAAGAAAAAGAAAGAAGAAAAGAGAAGAGGAAGAAGAGGAGAAGAAGAGGAAGGA
rnacentral:lncRNA from 1 species